rnacentral:rRNA from 1 species
UCAAGCGAACAAGGGCGCAGGGCGAAUGCCUUGGCACUGGGAGCCGAUGAAAGACGUGAUAAGCUGCGAUAAGCUUCGGGGAGCUGCAAAUAAGCAUUGAUCCGGAGAUUUCUGAAUGAGGAAACUCACCUGGGUUCAUACUCAGGUACAAUACACUGAAAUUCAAAAUAGGUGUAUUGAGGGAACCGCCUGAACUGAAACAUCUAAGUAGGGCGAGGAAGAGACAUCAAACGAGAUUCCGUAAGUAGUGGCGAGCGAACGCGGAAGAGGGCAAACCGAGAGUAGAAAUACUUUCGGGGUACGGACUGCUUUUAAGACUUAAUCUGUUAACCGAACGGCAUGGGAAGGCCGGUCAGAGAGUGUGAGAACCACGUAGGUGAAAACGGAGAGAGCUGCGCAGGAUCCAGAGUACGGCCAGACACGUGAAACCUGGUCGGAAUACGGGGGGACCACCCUCCAACCCUAAAUACUACCCAGUGACCGAUAGCGUAUAGUACUGUGAAGGAAAGGUGAAAAGCACCCCGGGAGGGGAGUGAAAAAGAACCUGAAACCCUGUGCCUACAAGCACCUAGAGCGCGUCAAAGCGUGAUAGGGUACUUUUUGUAGAACGGUCCGGCGAGCGAUUGUAUGCAGCAAGGUUAAGGACUUAAGGUCUGGAGCCGAAGCGAAAGCGAGUUUGAAAAGGGCGUUAAGUUGCAUAUAAUGGGCCCGAAACCGGGUGACCUACCCAUGGUCAGGUUGAAGUGGAAGUAAAAUUCCAUGGAGGACCGAACCGACCUCCGUUGAAAAGGCGGCGGAUGAACUGUGGGUAGCGGAGAAAUUCCAAUCGAACCCGGAGAUAGCUGGUUCUCCCCGAAAUAGUUUUAGGACUAGCCUCAAGUUAGAUACCUGGAGGUAAAGCACUGAAUAGCCUAGCGGCCGAGAGGUUAGCGAAGCUUAUCAAACUCAGAAUGCCAGAGUAUUGAUGCUUGGGAGUCAGACAGUGUCAGAUAAAUGUCAUUGUCAAAAGGGAAACAGCCCAGAUCUACAGCUAAGGUCCCAAAGUCAGGUUAAGUGGAAAACGAUGUGAAGAUACGCAGACAACCAGGAUGUUGGCUCAGAAGCAGCCACUCAUUCAAAGAGUGCGUAAUAGCUCACUGGUCGAGCGUCUUUGCGCGGAGAAUUUAACGGGGCUAAACCUGACACCGAAGCUUAGGCAAUGUAGUAAUACAUUGGGUAGGGGAGCGUUGUAUACGCGGAGAAACAGUAGCGCAAGCGGCUGUGGAGUGUAUAGAAGUGAGAAUGCCGGAAUGAGUAGCGCGAAUGCAGUGAGAAUCUGCAUGGCCGAAAGCCUCAGGUUUCUGGAGGAAGGUUCGUCCGCUCCAGGUUAGUCGGGAGCUAAGGUGAGGCCGAAAGGCGUAGCCGAUGCACAGACGGUAGAGAUUCCGUCACCACCAAAAGAGUUAAGCACAGGGACACAUUUGAAGUCUCAGAGCCGGGUGUUGGUUCCGGUAGAGAUCGAGGGAAGUUAGUACCGAAGUCUGAGAUGGAAGAUGGCGAGAAAAGCUGUGUGUAUUUCUGAGGUGCCCGUACCGCAAACCGACACAGGUAGGUAGGAAGAAGAUUCUAAGGCCAACGGGAGAAGGGUUGUUAAGGAACUCGGCAAAUUGACCCCGUAACUUCGGGAGAAGGGGUGCUCCAGAGAUGGAGCCGCAGAGAAUCGGCCCAAGCAACUGUUUACCAAAAACACAGGUUUGUGCUAAAUCGAAAGAUGACGUAUACGAGCUGACGCCUGCCCGGUGCUGGAAGGUUAAGAGGAGAUGUGCAAGCAUUGAAUCGAAGCCCCAGUGAACGGCGGCCGUAACUAUAACGGUCCUAAGGUAGCGAAAUUCCUUGUCAGGUAAG